GACGAACGCUGGCGGCGUGCUUAACACAUGCAAGUCGAACGAUGACGACCUACCUUGCUGGGUCUGACUAGUGGCGAACGGGUGAGUAACACGUGAGCAACCUGCCCUUCACUCUGGGAUAACUUCGGGAAACCGGGGCUAAUACCGGAUAUGAGCUCCUGCUGCAUGGCGGGGGUUGGAAAGUUUUUCGGUGUAGGAUUGGCUCGCGGCCUUUCAGUUUGUUGGUGGGGUAGUGGCUCACCAAGGCGAUGACGGGUAGCCGGCCUGAGAGGGCGACCGGCCACACUGGGACUGAGACACGGCCCAGACUCCUACGGGAGGCAGCAGUGGGGAAUAUUGCACAAUGGGCGGAAGCCUGAUGCAGCAACGCCGCGUGAGGGAUGACGGCCUUCGGGUUGUAAACCUCUUUCAGCAGGGACGAAGCGAAAGUGACGGUACCUGCAGAAGAAGCGCCGGCUAACUACGUG
rnacentral:rRNA from 1 species